AUUGAACGCUGGCGGCAGGCCUAACACAUGCAAGUCGAACGGCAGCACAGAAGAGCUUGCUCUUUGGGUGGCGAGUGGCGGACGGGUGAGUAAUGUCUGGGAAACUGCCCGAUGGAGGGGGAUAACUACUGGAAACGGUAGCUAAUACCGCAUAAUGUCGCAAGACCAAAGUGGGGGACCCUCGGGCCUCACACCAUCGGAUGUGCCCAGAUGGGAUUAGCUAGUAGGUGGGGUAAUGGCUCACCUAGGCGACGAUCCCUAGCUGGUUCUGAGAGGAUGACCAGCCACACUGGAACUGAGACACGGUCCAGACUCCUACGGGAGGCAGCAGUGGGGAAUAUUGCACAAUGGGCGCAAGCCUGAUGCAGCCAUGCCGCGUGUAUGAAGAAGGCCUUCGGGUUGUAAAGUACUUUCAGCGGGGAGGAAGGCGGUGAGGUUAAUAACCUUGCCGAUUGACGUUACCCGCAGAAGAAGCACCGGCUAACUCCGUGCCAGCCGCCGCGGUAACAC
rnacentral:rRNA from 1 species